AGAGUUUGAUCCUGGCUCAGGACGAACGCUGGCGGCGUGCCUAAUACAUGCAAGUCGAGCGRACAGAUAAGGAGCUUGCUCCUUUGACGUUAGCGGCGGACGGGUGAGUAACACGUGGGCAACCUACCCUAUAGUUUGGGAUAACUCCGGGAAACCGGGGCUAAUACCGAAUAAUCUUUUGUCUCUCAUGAGACAAUUCUGAAAGACGGCAUCUCGCUGUCGCUAUAGGAUGGGCCCGCGGCGCAUUAGCUAGUUGGUGAGGUAACGGCUCACCAAGGCAACGAUGCGUAGCCGACCUGAGAGGGUGAUCGGCCACACUGGGACUGAGACACGGCCCARACUCCUACGGGAGGCAGCAGUAGGGAAUCUUCCACAAUGGGCGAAAGCCUGAUGGAGCAACGCCGCGUGAGUGAAGAAGGAUUUCUGUUCGUAAAACUCUGUUGUAAGGGAAGAACAUGUACAGUACUAACUGGCUGUACCUUGACGGUACCUUAUUAAAAAGCCACGGCUAACUACGUGCCAGCAGCCGCGGUAAUACGUAGGUGGCAAGCGUUGUCCGGAAUUAUUGGGCGUAAAGCGCGCGCAGGUGGUUUCUUAAGUCUGAUGUGAAAGCCCACGGCUCAACCGUGGAGGGUCAUUGGAAACUGGGAGACUUGAGUGCAGAAAAGGAUAGUGGAAUUCCAAGUGUAGCGGUGAAAUGCGUACAGAUUUGGAGGAACACCAGUGGCGAAGGCGACUAUCUGGUCUGUAACUGACACUGAGGCGCGAAAGCGUGGGGAGCAAACAGGAUUAAAUACCC
rnacentral:rRNA from 1 species